AAAUCUGCUAGUGGCUGCUCCAAAGCCGUCUGCAUUCUGAUUUUAUUUGACAAGCCAGCAGUACAAAAGUGAUAAGUACAGAUUAGACAUCAUGCAUCAUCCAAACCCUGGUCAGCACCACAACCCCCCGGGGCACCAAAACCCAGGGCAUGGUGCACCUCACCAUGGAAGCCACCCUCCACCACAUGGACACCAAAACCCUCAUGGUGGACACGGACCAGCACCACAUGGUCAACAUGGACCAGGGCCACAUGGCCACCAGGCCCCCCAUGGAAAGCAUUAGCACUUUGUCAUGAAAUGAUUGAGAAUCGCUGUAGUAUCCUGUACAAGACAAUGAAAAAAGACUUCAAAUCCUCUUUUACAAAUCUACAGUCCAGUAUGCAUAUAAUGUAUAUUAAAUAAAAAUCUCACAUCUA